rnacentral:rRNA from 1 species
UAAGGAAUAUUGGUCAAUGGACGCAAGUCUGAACCAGCCAUGCCGCGUGAAGGAUGAAGGUCCUCUGGAUUGUAAACUUCUUUUAUCUGGGACGAAAACGGGAUUUUUAUCUCAAUUGACGGUACCAGAGGAAUAAGCACCGGCUAACUCCGUGCCAGCAGCCGCGGUAAUACGGAGGGUGCGAGCGUUAUCCGGAUUUACUGGGUUUAAAGGGUGCGUAGGUGGGCUUAUAAGUCAGUGGUGAAAUCUCCGAGCUUAACUUGGAAACUGCCGUUGAUACUAUAGGUCUUGAAUUAUCUGGAGGUAAGCGGAAUAUGUCAUGUAGCGGUGAAGUGCUUAGAUAUGACAUAGAACACCAAUUGCGAAGGCAGCUUACUACAUAUAAAUUGACGCUGAGGCACGAAAGCGUGGGGAUCAAACA